rnacentral:rRNA from 1 species
UUUGUUUGAUCCAUUUAUUUUGAUUAUAAGAUUAAAUUACCUUAGGGAUAACAGCGUUAUCUUCCCUGAGAGUUCUUAUUGGCGGGGAGGUUUGCGACCUCGAUGUUGGAUUAAGGUGAAUUUUUGGUGCAGGAGCUGAAGUUGAUUGGGUCUGUUCGACCUUUAAAAUCUUACAUGAUCUGAGUUCAAACCGGCGUGAGCCAGGUUGGUUUCUAUCUAUAAAUAGUUUUUAUACCUCAGUACGAGAGGACCGGGUAU